rfam:Trichinella nativa scaffold264s, whole genome shotgun sequence.
UACCUGGUUGAUCCUGCCAGUAGUCAUAUGCUUGUCUCAAAGAUUAAGCCAUGCAUGUGUAAGCACACACUGUUUUAAAAGUGAAGCCGCGAAUGGCUCAUUACAACAGCCACAGUUUAUUAGAACUUACAAUCAUGGAUAACUGUGGUAAUUCUAGAGCUAAUACACGCACAAAAACUUCAACUGAAUUGGUUGAAGUGCUUUUAUUAGAACAAAAACCGAACGGCGUUUGACGAAUGUUGAACGUCGAAACUGUUUGGUGAAUCUGAAUAACUAUUUCUGAUCGCAUGGUCUAGCACCGGCGACAUCACUUUCAAGUGUCUGCCUUAUCAACCUUCGAUGGUAGUCUAUGCGACUACCAUGGUGAUAACGGGUAACGGAGAAUCAGGGUUCGACUCCGGAGAGGGAGCCUGAGAAACGGCUACCACAUCCAAGGAAGGCAGCAGGCGCGCAAAUUACCCACUCCCAGCUUGGGGAGGUAGUGACGAAAAAUAACGAGACGAUUCUCGUUUGAGAAACGUUAUCGAAAUGAGUACGCUUUACACACGCUAACGAGUAGCAAUUGGAGGGCAAGUCUGGUGCCAGCAGCCGCGGUAAUUCCAGCUCCAAUAGCGUAUAUUAAAGUUGCUGCGGUUAAAACGCUCGUAGUUGAAUUGUGGUCUUAGACAACAGUCCCCCUACAUAGGUGUGGCACGGUUGCUCGAGAUCUUCAUUCGUGGUUGCUGUUGUUGCUCUUCAUUGAGUGUCAAUGGUGCCUCGAGAUUUUACUUUGAAAAAAUUAGAGUGCUCAAAGCAGGUUGUGAUGCCUGAAUAAUGGUGCAUGGAAUAAUAGAAUACGAUCUCGGUUCUAUUUUGUUGGUUUUCGAACCGGAGAUAAUGAUUGAAAGGAACAGACGGGGGCAUUCGUAUUGCUGCGUUAGAGGUGAAAUUCUUGGAUCGCAGCAAGAUGAACAAUUGCGAAAGCAUUUGCCAAGAAUGUUUUCAUUAAUCAAGAACGAAAGUUAGAGGUUCGAAGGCGAUCAGAUACCGCCCUAGUUCUAACGGUAAACUAUGCCAACCAGCGAUUCGCCGAAGUUCAUUUAAGACUCGGCGAGCAGCUUCCGGGAAACCAAAGUGUUUCGGUUCCGGGGGAAGUAUGGUUGCAAAGCUGAAACUUAAAGGAAUUGACGGAAGGGCACCACCAGGAGUGGAGCCUGCGGCUUAAUUUGACUCAACACGGGAAAACUCACCCGGCCCGGACACUGGAAGGAUUGACAGAUUGACAGCUCUUUCUUGAUUCAGUGGGUAGUGGUGCAUGGCCGUUCUUAGUUGGUGGAGCGAUUUGUCUGGUUAAUUCCGAUAACGAACGAGACUCUACCCUAUUAAAUAGUGACAGUAUUGUAUUUUUUGUGCUGAUCACUUCUUAGAGGGACUGGCAAAUUGAAAGCUGCACGAAAAAGAGCAAUAACAGGUCUGUGAUGCCCUUCGAUGUCCGGGGCUGCACGCGCGCUACAAUGAAAGCGUCAACGUGAGUUACGUCCUUACCUGAAAAGGUUUGGCAAUCGAAUGAAACGUUUUCUUGAAUGGAAUAGGGAAUUGCAAUUGUUUCCCUUGAACGAGGAAUUCCCAGUAAGCGUGAGUCAUUAGCUCGCGUUGAUUACGUCCCUGCCCUUUGUACACACCGCCCGUCGCUACUACCGAUUGGAUGAUUUAGUGAGGUGUUUUGACUGGCGCCAGUAGUCGGAUGUAUUCGGCUUCGCGCCGGGAAAUUUCCCAAACCAAAUCAUCUAGAGGAAGUAAAAGUCGUAACAAGGUUUCCGUAGGUGAACCUGCGGAAGGAUCAUUA